UCCGGUUUGUCACCGGCAGUUUCGCCAGAGUGCCCAACUUAAUGAUGGCAACUGGCAAUAAGGGUUGCGCUCGUUGCGGGACUUAACCCAACAUCUCACGACACGAGCUGACGACAGCCAUGCAGCACCUACGCAGCAGUCCCUUGCGGGAAAACGAUAUUUCUACCGCUGUCCACUGCGCUUCGAGCCCAGGUAAGGUUCUUCGCGUUGCAUCGAAUUAAGCCACAUACUCCACCGCUUGUGCAGGCCCCCGUCAAUUUCUUUGAGUUUUAAUCUUGCGACCGUACUUCCCAGGCGGCACGUUUAACGCGUUAGCUUCGCCACGAACGGGGUCGAAUCCGUUCACAGCAAACGUGCACCGUUUACGGCUAGGACUAC
rnacentral:misc_RNA from 1 species